UACGAAGGGGGCUAGCGUUGCUCGGAAUCACUGGGCGUAAAGCGCACGUAGGCGGCUUUGUAAGUUAGAGGUGAAAGCCCGGGGCUCAACUCCGGAAUUGCCUUUAAGACUGCAUCGCUAGAAUUGUGGAGAGGUAAGUGGAAUUCCGAGUGUAGAGGUGAAAUUCGUAGAUAUUCGGAGGAACACCAAUGGCGAAGGCAGCUCGCUGGGACGGUACUGACGGCUGAGGCGCGAAGGC
rnacentral:rRNA from 1 species